CCGAGCGGGGAGGGGGAGCGCUGGCAGGCGGCCAGCUGCCAUCAGAAUUAGCUCAUUGUUCAAUAUAACCAGCACUGGCAACCAAAACCCAGCCCGAGCGAGAGAGACUUUCCCCCAGCCACCCCCACCCCUUUUUCUUUUUUCUCCAAGGCUGCACUUUGGAAGAGGUGCAGUCAUUCUUCCCCACACCCCCUACCCUCUCUCCACUCCCCCAACUAUAAAUUCCCUUCUGUAGCAUGCUGCCCUUUUUUAAUCCACAUUUGUGUUUCAGAUCAUGUAGAAAGGACAGAAAGUGAGCAGGGAGCGGGGGCUUUUGUCUAUUGUUCUCCUUGUGCUACUUGAGAGAAACUGCAGUCCCAAGACUUAACAGAAUCUAAAAAUGGGAUAUCUUCCUAUCUCAAAGGAAGUAAAUCGCAAGAAGAAAAGUGAGGCUGAAGUGGCGUUCCUGACUCCAGUAAAUGGCU